UACGGAGGGUGCGAGCGUUGUCCGGAUUUAUUGGGCGUAAAGAGCGUGUAGGCGGCCCGGAAGGUCAGCUGUGAAAACUCGAGGCUCAACCUCGAGACGUCGGUUGAAACCACCAGGCUAGAGUCCGGAAGAGGAGUGUGGAAUUCCCGGUGUAGCGGUGAAAUGCGCAGAUAUCGGGAAGAACACCCGUGGCGAAGGCGGCACUCUGGGACGGUACUGACGCUGAGACGCGAAAGCGUGGGGAGCGAACAGG
rnacentral:rRNA from 1 species